rnacentral:rRNA from 1 species
UGUAGCCUACGGGGCGCAGCAGUGGGGGAUAUUGCACAAUGGGGGGAACCCUGAUGCAGCGACGCCGCGUGGGUGAAGAAGCGCCCCGGCGUGUAAAGCCCUGUCAGCAGGGAAGAAGAAGGACGGUACCUGACCAAGAAGCCCCGGCUAACUACGUGCCAGCAGCCGCGGUAAUACGUAGGGGGCAAGCGUUAUCCGGAUUUACUGGGUGUAAAGGGGGCGCAGACGGCGAUGCAAGCCAGGAGUGAAAGCCCGGGGCCCAACCCCGGGACUGCCCUUGGAACUGCGUGGCUGGAGUGCAGGAG